CCCAGAUCAAUACUGCACUAAGUCAAAAAAUCCCCGAAUUGACUUAUUUAUAUAGUUAAAUAGGCAUUUUUUUCCCGCACAUACCACAAAGACAGCCAUAUCUUUAUUUGCUAAAACAGCCAACAGAUGUCGUGCUAAGUCUCUUUUGGUGAAUGAAUAACUGCCUAGUCGUACCACGAAUAAGAAUCUAAUUCGAGUUGCAACUUGUUCCUUUAUAGAAGCAGCAUAUAGUGACGUUACGUAACAGUGAAUUAUUUUGUAAUGGUUAAGUAUUGUUGAAUGAAGUAGAAAAUUACUCCGAAUUAUUUAGAUUUAAUGCAGUGUUGGUGAAUUUCCUGCUUCUGCUGUUUUGAUAGUAUUUCUAAAUAAUACUGUAUUGGUGACGAGGAUGAUGAAGGGUCGGGGUCUAUUGUUGCUUGAAAAGGCAUUGGAAGCAACGGCAACCGAGGCUGCGUCAACCACUUCACAAAGAAAAAUAGAAAUUUGUGUUGAAAAUGAAGCAAAAAUUUAGAUGCAUCACCAUCAUCAAUCGUGGUAUCACCAGUUACAUGAUUAUUUAUCACGGUAUCACCCGUUGCAGCAUCAGCUCUCGAGGUAUCAUCUAUUGUAGCUUCAAAUAAGUCUUUGACACCCGAAAAGAGUAAUGAAAGAGAUUUUAUAGAUGAUUCGGAUCGGAACGGAUCCUACUUUUUCUAUCCGAAAAAUACAAAAAUUCCGGCCACCUGUAAUACCUAGACGGGUAUCUUCGUCUUCCUGCUCAAGUACCUCUUCAGACUCAGGCUCAUCGUCAUCAAGCUCUAGCAGCUCAAAGUGCUCAUCUGACAAUGAAUCCAAUAGACCAGGCCCAUCGGCAGAAGAUACCCGAAACCGAAGCGGAGCGCGGUGCAAGUGAGAUCGGGAGUUGUGUCCUUGCAUACAUUGAGUUGAUACUUGCAAAAAAGGAUCCUAAUAAUGAUGUGAUGUCAUAUUCUAUAGCGACAAUUGCUUUCGGCAACAAAAAAACAAAUACUGACUAUCUUUCUAUGCUUACGCAGUUAACAACAUGCUUAGAGUUAAUUCCAUAAGACAUAAUUUCUUCCGCGGGCAUUCUCGAAACGAAGGGGACAACGUCCACAG